rnacentral:tmRNA from 1 species
GAGCUAGAGGGGUAUUUAUGAAGCUAGGGAAUUAGGAGUUUGUUUGUGAGCGAACUAAGGACCGAAAUUUUAGUCACAAACUACGCUCGUAGAAAGUCAGGCUGGUCUGCUUUCGGACACGGGUUCGACACCCGUCGCCUCCACCA